rnacentral:lncRNA from 1 species
GCUCCUGAGCUCAAGCUAUCCACUUGCCUCAGCCUCCCAAAUUGCUGAGAUUAGAAGAAUGAGCCACUGUGCCUGUGACUUACUUCUAACCCACAGAAUAGAGCAACAGUGAGAGGAUGUCAAUUCUGUGAUAGAUUGCAAAAUAUUGUAAGUUCCUAGCAGUCUUUCUCAUUGGUUUCAAUAAAAAAAAGCUGCUGUGCUGGAGGGACCCAUGAGGCAAAGAACUGAGAGCAGCCUUUAGCUAACAGCCGGCAAGGAAUGAGGUGCUUGGUCCAGCAAUCACAGAGAAACUGAAUCCUGCUGAUGAUCAUGAGGGUGAGCUUGGAAGCAGAUUCUGUCCCAGAUGAACUUUGAUUGUGUCUUGUUAGAAACCCUGGACCAACUCCUUGAUUGCACCUGUGAGAGGCCCUGAAGCGGAGGGCCCAGCUAAGGUGUGUCUGGAUUUCUGACCCACAGAAACUGAGAUCAUAAAUGUGUGGUUUUAAGCCCGUAAGUUUUGGAAUACAGUAGAUCUUCAUUAUUCACAGAUUUUGCACUUGCAAAUUUGCUUACUCGCUAAAAUUUAUUUGUAUCCCUAAAAUCAGUACUCCAGCACUUUCACAGUCAUUUACGGCAUCUGCAGAGCAGUGAAAAAUUUGAAUUGCCUGAGAUACAUGCUCCCUGCUGAAGUCGCACAAGCUGGCCAAUCCUGCUAAUCCUUUAAAACUCACCUGGAGGGAAGGCCUCCUUCUGCAAAGCCUCUCUUGAUGCAGAUUAUCAGCUUUCACUCUCUACCAGAUGGCAAGGAUAUUGCUGUUGGCUCAUAGGAUGUGAACAGUGGUGUUGAGAUUACCCUCAUUUGGCUGAUGAUGUCAUUGAGGCCCAGAGAAGGUAAGUAAUGUACCAAGGUUACAGACUAGUAAGUGACAGAGAUGGGUUUUGAGCCCCAUUCUUCUACAUUGUGUGCAAUAGCUCAUAUCAAGGUCACUAAAGCUGAAGACUGAAUUAUUUAUUCAAAUACUGCCAUCAUGCACCAAUAUUCUCAACAGGUAGGACACCUGGCAGGGCCUGGCUUUGGGGCUAACUUCUGCAGCUCUUUUGAUUGCCCCCACCUUACAGUUUUUGGCACAGAGCACUGUGUAGCUGGCACUUCUCUACUGGCCCGAAUGAGAAAACUUCCUCAGAGCAAAAUGUCAAGCACCAAAUAAGAUUCAUGUUUACUGUGAAGUGAUUGCUGCUUUUUAAAUGCUUAUCAGAAGCCGAAGGACAAACUCAGUAGGUUGAUUCAUGCUGAGCUCGACUACCUCCGUGAGAAAUGACUCUCCUGUAGGGCUCGAUGACCUUCAUGUCAAUGCGCUGCUCUUGUUCUCCAAUGACCACUGUCCUCCAAAGCCGGUUGUCCUCCCGUUCCUCUUCGGCCGUAUAUUCUGGAAUAGACUCUGACUCUUGGCCAGAAUCUUUGUUGGCUGUGGGAUCUUCUGGAAACAAAGCACAGAGCAAGGCUGAAGGAGCAAGACCUCCACAGUGCAGCUAAACAGCCAAAUGAGUCUCCCGCAAGUCAGGAAAACUGGAUAAAAAGAGGCCUAAAUGUGAGCAAGAGCUAUCAUGUUUGGCUUCAAGUGAGGAAAAUGAGGCAGAGAAUGAAACAUUUCCAUCUGGAUGACCAAACCGUCAGCUCCUAAAGGGCCGCAGAGGCUGAGGGCGCUGCUGGCAGCCGGCCCUCUGUGGACAUUUGCUGAAUAAACAGAAGAUAUGUG